AUGGAAAUGCUAGUUACACCGGCUUCUCUUCACUCACAAGCCAGAACCACAAAAAGCAUAAAAAAGCAGAUGAGUGUCAAGGGUGCAUUUGGUAGAGCUUAUUUAAAGCUUAUUUGUUUUUACUGUUUGUCUUAUGCCAUAAACACAUGCAAAUGUAAGCAUUUGAGAGAAUUUAUGAAAAUAGCUUAUAACAUCUACAUAAGUGGUUUCGCAGCUGAUUUCAAUAAGCUCCCCGAUAUACAACAACAACCAAGACUUAUCCUAUUAAGUAGGGUCGACUACAUGGAUCAACUUCCGUCAUAA